CAUUAAAGUUCUUUCUCAAGUAGGAAUGAACCCAGACCAGAACAGAUACGAGAUGAUAAAGAAAGAAGAAGAAAAACUACGUAUGGCUAUGCGAGUU